rnacentral:rRNA from 1 species
CCUGCCGGACCUGACUGCUAUCGGAUUGAUACUAAGCCAUGCGAGUCAUUGUAGCAAUACAAGGCAGACGGCUCAGUAACGCGUAGUCAACCUACCCUAUGGACGGGAAUAACCUCGGGAAACUGAGUAUAAUGCCCGAUAGAACAUUAUGCCUGGAAUGGUUUAUGUUCCAAAUGAUUUAUCGCCGUAGGAUGGGACUGCGGCCUAUCAGUUUGUUGGUGAGGUAAUGGCCCACCAAGACUAUUACAGGUACGGGCUCUGAGAGGAGUAGCCCGGAGAUGGGUACUGAGACACGGACCCAGGCCCUAUGGGGCGCAGCAGGCGAGAAAACUUUGCAAUGUGCGAAAGCACGACAAGGUUAAUCCGAGUGGUUUCUGCUAAAGGAACCUUUUGUUAGUCCUAAAAACACUAACGAAUAAGGGGUGGGCAAGUUCUGGUGUCAGCCGCCGCGGUAAAACCAGCACCUCAAGUGGUCAGGAUGAUUAUUGGGCCUAAAGCAUCCGUAGCCUGCUCUGUAAGUUUUCGGUUAAAUCUGUAUGCUCAACAUACAGGCCGCCGGGAAUACUGCAGGGCUAGGGAGUGGGAGAGGUAGACGGUACUCGGGAGGAAGUGGUAAAAUGCUUUGAUCUCUCGAUGACCACCUGUGGCGAAGGCGGUCUACCAGAACACGUCCGACGGUGAGGGAUGAAAGCUGGGGGAGCAAACCGGAUUAGAUACCCGGGUAGUCCCAGCCGUAAACUAUGCAAACUCAGUGAUGCAUUGGCUU